AUUGAACGCUGGCGGCAUGCCUUACACAUGCAAGUCGAACGGCAGCACGGAGCUUGCUCUGGUGGCGAGCGGCGAACGGGUGAGUAAUAUAUCGGAACGUACCCAAGAGUGGGGGAUAACGUAGCGAAAGUUACGCUAAUACCGCAUACGAUCUAAGGAUGAAAGUGGGGGCUCGCAAGACCUCAUGCUCCUGGAGCGGCCGAUAUCUGAUUAGCUAGUUGGUGAGGUAAAGGCUCACCAAGGCAUCGAUCAGUAGCUGGUCUGAGAGGACGACCAGCCACACUGGAACUGAGACACGGUCCAGACUCCUACGGGAGGCAGCAGUGGGGAAUUUUGGACAAUGGGGGCAACCCUGAUCCAGCAAUGCCGCGUGAGUGAAGAAGGCCUUCGGGUUGUAAAGCUCUUUUGUCAGGGAAGAAACGGUGAAGGCUAAUAUCCUUUGCUAAUGACGGUACCUGAAGAAUAAGCACCGGCUAACUACGUGCCAGCAGCCGCAGUAA
rnacentral:rRNA from 1 species